rnacentral:rRNA from 1 species
AGAGUUUGAUCCUGGCUCAGGAUGAACGCUGGCGGCGUGUCUAAGGCAUGCAAGUCGAACGGAUUCUCUUUAGUAGCAAUACUAAAAAUAGUUAGUGGCAAACGGGAGCGUAACACAUUGGUAACCUACCUUGAGGUUCGGUACAACCUGUCGAAAGAUGGGCUAAUUCCGGAUGUGAUCCAAUUACAUAUGUAGUUGGAUGAAAGGUGCAAAUCGCCUUUAGAGGGACCUAUGUUUCAUCAGCUUGUUGGUAGGGUAACGGCCUACCAAGGCUACGACGAAUAGCGGGUGUGGGAGCACGACCCGCCUCACAGGGACUGAGACACUGCCCUGACACCUACGGGUGGCUGCAGUCGAGAAUCUUCCCCAAUGGACGAAAGUCUGAGGGAGCGACGCCGCGUGCAGGAAGAAGCUCUUCGGGGCGUAAACUGCUUUUAUAUGGGAACAAGUUCUGAGUGUACCAUAUGAAUAAGGACCUGCUAAACUCGUGCCAGCAGCAGCGGUAAUACGAGUGGUCCGAGCGUUAUCCGGUUUUAUUGGGCGUAAAGGGUCCGCAGGCGGCUUUGAAAGUCCGAUGUUAAAUUCUGGUGCUCAACAUCAGAUCCGCAUUGGAAACUUCAAAGCUAGAGACUGGGAGAGGCAAAUGGAAUUGCCGGUGUAGCAGUAAAAUGCUUUAAUAUCGGCAGGAACACCAAAAGCGAAGGCAUUUUGCUAGAACAGUUCUGACGCUCAGGGACGAAAGCGUGGGGAGCGAAGCGGAUUAGAUACCCGCGUAGUCCACGCCGUAAACGAUGGGUACUAGGUAUUGGAAGUAUCGACCCUUUCAGUGCCGUUUACCUAAGGUAACCCCUUAAGUACCCCGCCUGGGAAGUACGGCCGCAAGGCUAAAACUUAAAGGAAUUGACGGGAACCCGCACAAGCGGUGGAGCAUGUGGUUUAAUUCGACGGUAAGCGAAGAACCUUACCAGGGCUUGACAUCCCGCGAAUCUCGCAGAAACGUGAGAGUGCCCGUAAGGGAGCGCGGUGACAGGUGCUGCAUGGUUGUCGUCAGCUCGUGUCGUGAGAUGUCGGGUUAAGUCCUCAAACGAGCGCAACCCCCAUCUUGUGUUGCAUUUCACAAGAAACUGCCUCGGUCAACGGGGAGGAAGGUGGGGACGACGUCAAAUCAGCAUGGCUCUUACGCCCUGGGCUACACACGUGCUACAAUGGCCACAACAACGGGUCGCCAAACCGCAAGGUGGAGCUAAUCCCUAAAAUGUGGUCCCAGUUCGGAUUGGAGGCUGCAACUCGCCUCCAUGAAGCCGGAAUCGCUAGUAACCGCCGGUCAGCUAUACGGCGGUGAAUACGUUCUCGGGUUUUGUACACACCGCCCGUCACGUCAAGGGAGUCGGUGGCGCCUGAAGUGCCCCGUUCGGGGAGCUAGGGCGAAAUUGAUAACAGGGACGAAGUCGUAACAAGGCACCGGUAGCGGAAGCUGUCGGUG